GACGUAGGGCGCGAGCGUUGUCCGGAUUUAUUGGGCGUAAAGAGCUCGUAGGCGGCUUGUUGCGUCGGCUGUGAAAACCCAUGGCUUAACCGUGGGCUUGCAGCCGAUACGGGCAGGCUAGAGUUCGGUAGGGGAGACUGGAAUUCCUGGUGUAGCGGUGAAAUGCGCAGAUAUCAGGAGGAACACCGGUGGCGAAGGCGGGCCUCUGGGCCGAUACUGACGCUGAGGAGCGAAAGCGUGGGGAGCGAACAGG
rnacentral:rRNA from 1 species